UUGCUCUUCUCAGUAGUUUUCAAAGUGGCAUAAUUUAAUUUUUUCAGUUUAACAACAAAAAACUAAAGUACAAGGACAUCUAUAGUUACAGGCAGCAAACCUUCUACUUGAGUGCUGGUUCAUUCUAGUGCAAGCCAAGCUUCGGUUCUUGUUUCCUAUUUUUAGGAUUUUGCAAGCCUCUUCAGUACUCUGAACAUUGAUCCACUUUAAGUCUGCAGAAAGAGACUUGUUUACAAAUACAUCAAGUCAUUAAUAUUUGUAUAGGACAACCAAAGUCACAAAAGUAAUGUCAUUACCUUUUAUAUAAGAGUUUCCUCCUUGAUCCUCACAGAUCCUUAGAACUUUGCGUUUUUGAUUUUUUGAUAUAGCAAAUACAUCCAUAAGGUCAUACACACACUCAUU